AUUAAGCAUUAAUAUAUUAAUUAAAUAAAAUAAACUAAUUAAACAAUAUUAGAAAAAAAUAUAAUGAAAUAAAUGGAUGAUACAAAAAACAAAAGAAUAAAUAAACGAAAAUAAAGAAAAAUAAAAUGGGUAAGUGGGCCUUAAAAUAAUGACUAAGCCCAAAUGGGUGCUGCCAGACCUAAAACGGGGGGUUCCAAAAGAAAACGUGAUAUAGGCCCUAAGUACGAACGACCCAUUCAAAUUCUGAAAGGCCUAAAGAAAGUCUCAGUCAACCACGUUGACUAAGAGGGAUGCUCCAAACCGGCGGAUCUGGAGAUUUGACUUGGUCUGUAGAUCUCGCGGUGGAAAUAAGGAGAUGCAUGAUAAUAGGGAGUAUACUAGCGCGCGAGAUUAAUGGAAAAGGGUCAUCCUGUUGGUGACAAGUGUCCAUGGUGGAGACACUUGUCACCACCGCCCCUAAGCCCAUAGUGGAGACUUAAAACUACUGACCCAAAGAAUUGAAAUCAUUUCAAGAAAAAAUUCUCUCUCUUCACUCCCAAACGCAGUAUGCUCUGCAAGUUCUCUCACCCUUUAUGAGAAACCUUCACCAGAGAAGAUGGUGGUUUCCAGCCACCUGAGGAGGCGUCACCUUCUUCUUCGGCAUACCAACCCAAAACCAAAAACGUUAAACACUAACCCUCCUUCUUUUUUCCUCCUCGAUCCGAAUCUGAAAACCUUUUCUUCCAAAUCCUCCAUAUAUGACCGGGUCGACCUCCCCAACUCAAAACUCAAAUUCUCUCCCUAAACCCAAAGUCAAAUUCCCUCUUACAUACGAACCCAGAACUAUCAAUCCCCAAAAUGACAAUAGAAAAAGCCAUAAACCACAAAUACGAAACCAAACCCUAAAUUAAAAUUAGCCACCAAUGUUAAUGAUUUCAAAAACACAAGGGGUUUAUGCUCAACUAUAUGUGACGAAGACAAUGGUGACCGAAAAUUAAAGAGAUAAUGAAGACUCACCAGAUCGGAGCUAGUCCGACAAUCUUUUCGGCAAGGUCAAUAUCUUUCGAAUCUUUUUGUCUUCUUACUUUUCUAUUCUUCCGUCCCUUUUUCUUCUCCUUCUCUGUUAGACACUUUAGAGUAUGCUUAUAGCUCAACCUUACUCAAACUCUGAUGCUGAGUUUGAGAGGUUAAUAAAAAAUGAGCUUUAUGAUUGGUGAGGGAAGAAAUUCGUAGAGUAACCUUAGGACCUCCUUUGCGAUGGCGUAAUAGUCGUAUUUAUAGGGCAUGAAUGGGAAAUGAGGGUGGAAUGAGAUACGUGCGAAAAUUGUUAGUUUCUUAGGAUUUUUCCUUGACUCGUGUGUAAAUCCGUUGAGAAUGAGGUGAGCUGUGAUUUUCUGUAGAUUAUCUUGUUGGUACAUUUUAUACAAUCCCUAACUUUGUGGGAUUCCCUUUGUGAGUGGUGUGAGGCGGGUUUUGCAGCGCUAAUUCAUAAUCUUUCUUAAUUCCUCAUAUGAUAAUGUGUAUGAUGUAUAACUUGCUGCCGAUGAUUGCGUUUUGAACAUGUAAUGGUCGGUAUAAUACAUGUCGUGCGUUUGCUUUGAGGGUCCCAUUUUGGGUUAUUUUGUUUUGCUUGAUAUUUUAGUAUUUUAUUGCACUACAUCUGCACUUUGUUAUGAUAAUUUUGCCAAGUAAUUAUUGAGUAGAAUAUGCUGUGCAAAAAAAUAUGAAUACCGUAAUAAUUGAUGGAAUUUCGGUGUUUACGCAGGUCUUGCUGAGAGAAAAUGAAGGACAUGGUAAAUGAAGGACAUGGUAAAUCAAGGACAUGGUAGGAGUGUGGAAAGCAUAGGCACGUGGGGACCGUUCAAAGACGUCGAAUCCUCUUUCACUUUUUUGUACUUUUUUUUUGUAUUAGACAUCAUGGAACAAUACUUUGUAUUAGUAAAAUAUUUUAUCCAUGUAGUGUGCAAACUUCUAUCUAACGAAGUACUUAUUUUAAUUGCAAGUUGAUCACUCCAUCUUAUUACAAAUGAAAUCUGAAGGUUUGAUUCAUCAUAAGACAAUAAUCAACAUCCAAU
rnacentral:lncRNA from 1 species